CAGGAUUCUUUUCAUUUUCAUUGUUGGAAUGGAAGCAGAAAAAAACGAAAUUAAUUAUAAUCGUAGUUAAAAAGUUGGUUUGUAGUACUUACGGAAAAAUUGGGUCAUUCCUUCACACAACAAACAAGGUAAAGAAAAAAAUAUAUCAACAGUGAAGAGAAGAAAACGUCGAUAAGAGGCCAGUCCUGGGUCGGCAGUGAUACGUAUGCAGAAUAUUUUUGCACACCAAAAAGUGCAAGUGGUCAUGUUUAACUAACUAAAGUGAGAAAUCUUGUCAAAUUAGGGGAGAAAAAAGAAGAAGAUAGGAUUUGAGGAAUUGUGUCGUGCACCUUGACUUGAUGCAUUCACACCCAUUCCCAUUCUCGUUUUUCACACGCCUCUGAAUUGAAUUAUUCUCUGGUACAACUUGUACCGUACAAGUUUAUAUUAAGUGAAAUCUUGACAUAUUUUCUGCCUCAAUUAUGUAUUAACUUAUUAUUAAUAAACAUCACAAAACC